AUAUUUAAAGAAAGAUUUUUCGACCAAAUUCGGAUUAACUUAUUAGUAAUUAAUCAGCCGCAGGUUAACGUUGAAGACAACGAUUCGAAGAUUAUUGAUGUAAGUACAAAGGAUUUUUAUAUAUUGUUAUCGCGGCGAAAAAUUUCCAAUCACCCUGACGAUAUCUCAAAUAAUCUGUAGAUGGAAACUACAAUCUAUAUAUCAUUACGGAAAACAGUGAGAUAAUAAUAAGUGACAGCAUAUAUAGGAUAAGUAUGAUCUUCUUUUGUCCGAGAUAAAAUAAUACGGCGUAAAUAACUUGUGAAAGAAGCGUAGAGAUCUUCACGAUUACUCGCUAUAUUAUACACAUAUCUUUAUUUUAUACAGAAACUCUCUCUAUAAAAGUCUUAUUCUCUCUAAAUUAUUCUUUUUAAAUUUUUUUGGAGUGGAUUCUUAGAAAGAAAGCAUUGAAAGAAAGCAUCUCAACUUUCAAUCUUUAAGAGUUAGAUUUCACUUUUUAGAGUGAGAUUGACUCUAAAUUAAGAUUUUAGAAUGUUACAAAAAUUGUAUUUUAAUUCCAGGACGCAAUCUUAUUAGCAUAACAGAAAAAAACAAAUAAAACACGAAUAACGAGAAGCAUCAGCUUCCCUGAAACCUGUUACAAAAUCCUGUAUUUCACACGCAAAAUAUUUUCGUCAAUUAUUUUGUGUCGCACGAUGGUUGAAUUUAUUGUUUGUGUUUAUAUCCGUUAAUCGUGUUUGCUCGUGAUGACGUUCGACUGGAAGACCAUGUAAUCCCACUGUCGCCAAAUGCCAAACAAAAGCUGUCGAGCAAAUAAAUAAACUCAAUGAGAGAUUAUUGCGCGCGAUAAGGCGAUCUCUGUGAAUACGCGUUUUAGGAUACGUGUCGUCGCGUGUCCGCAGACUAGUUCGAAUAGCCAUUAUUUCGCAAUCGUACUGCAUUAUUCUUUCCACGUACGAAUAAUUUACAAUUCAAAUUCAAGCUUCAAUGUCACCAAUAAAUUUCCGAGUUCUCCACCAGAUUUUUUGUUUGUGUGUGAAUUAACAUACGACGUAUUAUAAGUUUUUUGCAUAUGCACCAGGAACUGCAGUGGACGAUUACUCGUAUUUAUUUGUCAUUCUGGUAAAAAUCAUGGAAACGAACAAAAAAAAUCGAAUCAAUAAGACAUCGAAAUGGGAAGAUACAAAUUCCGAGGCCGACGAAAAAUAUCGUUAGACACAUGGGACUCGCGA